CACAUCCCGUAACGGACGCGUCCAACAACACCCGUUUUUCUCCGCCAAGCAUUUACGCUAGAGCGGAAACCUGGAGAAAUCUGGAAUGGUUCCUCCGUGGCCGGUCUGGCGCCCCAUCCCUUCCACAUUUUCUCCAUCCUACAUGCCAAACGAUCGCUCCCUGUACACCCUGUAUGGUGGCCUUUUUGGUUUGAACACAAACUUUAUGAUUCCACCAAUGGCCUUUCACUCGCUAGUGAACGCAAACAACCUCAGACUUAGAGAAGGUAUCCCGACUACUUCCGCUUCCUUUACAGACAAUGUGUACCCGUCAACUUCCUCUUACCGGUAUCAUCCGUACCUCACACCCGACAAGAUUGCAGCAGCACAGAAGGCGGCCGAGUCAUCGGUCGCCGAGAGCUGCCGACAUUGAUGUCGGAUGAUGCUGUGAAAUACCGUUGUCUUUCAUAUAACAGUUAUUAUAAAGCUAGUCUUGCCAGGAAAAAUAUGCAGUUUCAAAGUUGAAACCGAUAUUAUUUCAUGUGUUUGUUUUAAAAAUCAAGUGAAUCAGCCCAUGAUUUUAUUGCAAAAAAAGUUUGAGAUGUCUUCACAAACGAUGAUUUUGGGUUUUUUUACUUUGUGUAAUUUUAAGAAUGUUCUUUAUGUGAUUCUGCAUAUACAUCAUGCAGUUGGUCUUGCAUGUAAAUUACUCAUGACGAUAGCUCUCUCGUGUUUUAUUUGGAUUCUCAUGACUUUGCAACUUGAAUGGAUAUUAUUUAACGAUAUGUAUGAUAAUUUAUUGUUUCUCAGGUCAGUUGUGGACUCUGUCGAUCUAAAUUUGUUGUUUACAUGUGUGACAUAGUUGAGUUUUGUUGAAUAGUGCUAAUUCUAUGUGCUUUUGAAGUUGUGAUAUGUAUGGUUUCUACAUAUGAUAUAACAGGUGUGAAUCUGCGUUGCGUUUUACAGAAUACUUUGUGUUAUAAUCAAUAAAAAUCAGCCUUG
rnacentral:misc_RNA from 1 species